AAACAUGGCUCUUUGAAUUUUAAUAAUAAAGAGUCCAGCCUGCCCAGUGAUAAGAUUUUUAACGGGCCGCAGUACUCUGACUGUGCAAAGGUAGCAUAAUCAUUUGCCCUAUAAUUGAGGGCUUGUAUGAAUGGUUUAACAAGAACAAGACUGUCUCUUUUAAGUUUUUUAGAAUUUGGUUUUUAGGUGAAGAAACCUAAAUCUUAUUGAAAGACAAGAAGACCCUAUCGAGCUUAAAGUUAAUUUAUUAAAAAAUGUGUUUCAACUAAUCAAUUUUAAUAAAAAAUUUUGGUUGGGGCGACUAAGGAACAAAAAAAGCUUCUUUUUAUAUAAAAUACUAAAUAAGUUCUGAUCCAGAAAAAUCUGAUUAAAAAAAUUAGUUACCGUAGGGAUAACAGCAUAAUCUCUUUUGAGAGUUCUUAUCGAAAAAGAGGUUUGUGACCUCGAUGUUGGACUAGGAUAUCCUAAUAGAUGCAGAAGUCUUUAAAGGUUGGUCUGUUCGACCAUUAAUAAUCCUACGUGAU
rnacentral:rRNA from 1 species